AGGAAUAUUGGUCAAUGGGCGAGAGCCUGAACCAGCCAAGUAGCGUGAAGGAUGACCGCCCUAUGGGUUGUAAACUUCUUUUAUAUGGGAAUAAAGGGUGCCACGUGUGGCAUUUUGUAUGUACCAUAUGAAUAAGGAUCGGCUAACUCCGUGCUAGCAGCCGCGGUAAUACGGAGGAUCCGAGCGUUAUCCGGAUUUAUUGGGUUUAAAGGGAGCGUAGGUGGACAUGUAAGUCAGUUGUGAAAGUUUGCGGCUCAACCGUAAAAUUGCAGUUGAAACUGCGUGUCUUGAGUACAGUAGAGGUGGGCGGAAUUCGUGGUGUAGCGGUGAAAUGCUUAGAUAUCACGAAGAACUCCGAUUGCGAAGGCAGCUCACUGGACUGCAACUGACACUGAUGCUCGAAAGUGUGGGUAUCAAACAGG
rnacentral:rRNA from 1 species